rnacentral:rRNA from 1 species
UACAGAGGUCCCGAGCGUUGUUCGGAUUCAUUGGGCGUAAAGGGUGCGUAGGCGGCGCGGUAAGUCGGGUGUGAAAUCUCGGAGCUUAACUCCGAAACUGCAUUCGAUACUGCCGUGCUUGAGGACUGGAGAGGAGACUGGAAUUUACGGUGUAGCGGUGAAAUGCGUAGAUAUCAGGAGGAACACCGAUGGCGAAGGCAGGUCUCUGGGCCAUAACUGACGCUGAGAAGCGAAAGCAUGGGGAGCGAACAGG